UUCGCAAGCCAAUGACUACUAAUUGCACCAGUGUUGAAAAUAAAAACAGAAAAACCAACCAAAUAGGCCUACAGACCAGCAUGCUUAAAUCGAGCUAAUAAAACAUCCUUGUGGAUAUUGUUUCAGAUGACCACUUACAUGAGGACAAAACCAGCAGACAACAGAUUGAAUAUUUCUGGGAGCUGUAGGCUAAUCAUCCUGUGAAGUCACACCAUGGAUUUCCCAAUAUGCCUGGUCAAAAAUGCAGACGGCGAGCUUCAUGUAGUUCCUGGGGCCAUCAAGUACCUGAUGGGACUGAACCAGCAAGUCGUAGUGGUGGCGGUGGUCGGGCUGUACCGCAUCGGCAAGUCUUACCUCAUGAACAAGCUGUCUGGAAAGAGAAAAGGUGGUCAUUGCAAAGCACUACGCUGACCUUCUCUGAGGCAUCCUCGUUCUUGAUGAGAAGAAGUGUGCGGCCCUUCUGGAGAAGCUGUCUGCUCAGAUGGCCAAGAAGAUUACAGAGGGGAUCUACGAGCUUUACUGCAAUCACCAUGAGAACAUGCUGGCACAGUACCGGGCCAAGCCCGACAAAGGAGUUGGGGUAAGAGCUUCGAGUUGAUUCCUUAGAGCUGAAACAUUCAUCAAAAACUCCAUAUUGAACAUUGGAGCUGUUCUCCUCUUUCAGGCCGAUCCACUUAGUUUUGUUAGGUAAUAAUUAUCAGAGUAAGAACUCGAUGAUCCCUGACGGCUAACGAUAACAUAUCCUGACAGAAUGUAAACUUUAUACAUUCCACUUUCUCCCUCAGUGACACAAGUAUAUUUCAUGAUUUCUUAAGUCAAGAAAUCAGAACAGUUUCCAUGUCAUAGAUGAUGUGUUCUUUCUCUCAACCUCUAAUGUUACUGUU